rnacentral:rRNA from 1 species
GUGAGGAAUAUUGGUCAAUGGCCGAGAGGCUGAACCAGCCAAGUCGCGUGAAGGAAGAAGGAUCUAUGGUUUGUAAACUUCUUUUAUAGGGGAAUAAAGUGGAGGACGUGUCCUUUUUUGUAUGUACCCUAUGAAUAAGCAUCGGCUAACUCCGUGCCAGCAGCCGCGGUAAUACGGAGGAUGCGAGCGUUAUCCGGAUUUAUUGGGUUUAAAGGGUGCGUAGGUGGUGAUUUAAGUCAGCGGUGAAAGUUUGUGGCUCAACCAUAAAAUUGCCGUUGAAACUGGGUUACUUGAGUGUGUUUGAGGUAGGCGGAAUGCGUGGUGUAGCGGUGAAAUGCAUAGAUAUCACGCAGAACUCCGAUUGCGAAGGCAGCUUACUAAACCAUAACUGACACUGAAGCACGAAAGCGUGGGGAUCAAACAGGAUUAGAAACCCGGGUAGUCC